CAAAGAUCGGGUUUUAAAUUAAUAUAUGCAAAUCACUUAGCAAUUCAUUGCGAAAAUAUUCAUUGCCAUGCAGUAUCUCGUCAAAGGAUGAAAACAUGCAGUCGAAAAUUGUGUUGUUGUGGUUUUAAUCAAUAUUUUAUACUGAACCAGAAAACGUCUGAAAACCUAUUCAGGCCUAUUCAAUAUGGAAAAUCUUGUAUACAAAUGCUGUUAGCUCGUGAGGAAUACGAUUGCCUUGUUGUUGACUAUGAUGGGCCUGUACUCUGUCUUUGUCCUUUGAGCUUUCGGCUUUGCUCAAAAUUCAAAAAAUCUAUAACAAUUUACAUGCUAUAGAGUAUAGACCGAGUGUUCCAGCUUUCGAAUUUCAAGAAACAAGAUGGAUUUAUAAGGUGAGUAAGGUUUAAGCAAAGUUUCUCAUUAAUUUUAGCUUCUCGUUUCAUGUUGACAUAUUUAUCUGUUCUGGCUGCAUUGCUUGAUUCUUAAAUCGGACAUGUGAAGCUAUGUGGGGUAAGCAUGCUGUGUGUACAAAUUACAUGCACACUGUAGGCGUAUAUACAAUGAGAAGAUUUACUUCGCUAUUUACAGUGCUAAGACGAUAAACGUAACGUUUCGUUGUAUUUAAUAUAGUGUAAGUAAUUUCGCCUUGAACUACUUUCUUCACAUGCAUUUAGACGUCAAUUUUAACACCUAGUUGGCUGGUAUUUGAACUGUUGAAUUAUGUAAUCAAAACCUGGAAUUGUUGUCAUCAGCUCUUAGAAAGUGAGUGUGAUAUAUAGGUUUAAAUAAGAAAUUAAAACUCGUAUAAGUCUUGAGAAUAUAGACAUAUAUAGAGCUGGGGC
rnacentral:lncRNA from 1 species